GAGAAAGGAUUCAUUUCGCAACACCUACGGCUUCCACUAGAUGUCAACGAUCUUUAUAAAGUUGUUUGAAGCGUCUAUGAUAAACAGAGAGCAAAUUAGAAUCCAAGGAAGUUGACAUGUCAUCACUUCAUUUUUUUGCGCCUGCGCAUAAAUCUGAGAAACGUGAGUUUGUCAUCAUUUUUUAUCUAGACAUAGGAUAGGUUGUGUGAAAAUAUUACUGAUGUUUAACGUUAAAAAUGGACCAAAAGAUUAAUGCUAAACAACAUUUGACAUGUUUGAACGAACAUAAAUAGAUUAUUUACUAGGUUUUUUUAGCUUUUCGGCGUGAUUUUACCAGCCCCCCAACCACGUUUUGUGGGAGCAUAAUGAACGCUAAGUACUUGGUGUUAUUUGGACAUAAAUUAUGAACUUUGUCAAAAGAAACCACAUUUGUUCCGGACCUGGAAUGCCUUCCGGACCUGGGAUCCUGCCUUCUGAUGGAGAUAAUCAAAGGUCCUGACCUCGUGGAUAUGUGAAUAUGGCCUCGGAUGCCUUGAUGAGUUAGAGAGUGAGCACCGGAGAAAUCUGUGGAGGAGUGUCAAUGGAGAAAAGUAUAAUAGGACAGGAACAACCACAUGAACGUGACAGCAGGGGCGAAAAUCUGAUAUCAACUUUGGAGGGGACAAUUACAUGACAUUUUCUCAAGAGCAAUUCCUGAGGGGGACACCAAAAGUAGUGCUGUAACACAUAGCCUCCAUUGUAAUAUGGUAAAUGUAUAUUGAGGAACCAAAGAAAUAAGGUGUUUGCCGUACUCCUAACUACCGGUACCCAAAACGACACAACUAAUCACAACAGCAAUACCAUUGCCUUUAACAAAUCUUAGUUCAGUCACCAGUUUAAGUUGAGAGUGGGGGUAUCCAUGGCAUUUUCCAAUUAUGUUCCUAUUUUACAAGUCAAAAAAAUGGAGAACCUUUCAUAAUGUUGCCAAACAAAGACUCAACAAACUUACCUGAGACUCCCUAUCUCUGCCAGUCUGUCCCUGCAUAUCUGUCUCCAACUCUGCUGUCUGUGUGCCAUCUGUUGCCUGCUCUGCCUAAUGACAUCAUUGUGAAACAUUUCCAUUAGAAUUUCAUUUCUUUCUUAUGA
rnacentral:lncRNA from 1 species